AUUGAACGCUGGCGGCAGGCCUAACACAUGCAAGUCGAGCGAGCGGCGGACGGGUGAGUAAUGUAUGGGGACUGCCCGCUAGAGGGGGAUAACUCCUGGAAACGGUAGCUAAUACCGCAUACUAUCGGAUAACCCAUAUGGGAUUAGCUAGUAGGUGAGGUAAUUGCUCACCUAUGCGACGAUCCCUAGCUGGUCUGAGAGGAUGACGAGCCACACUGGGACUGAGAGUCGGCCCUGACCCCCACGGCGGCAGCAGUGGGAAAUAGUGCACAUCGGGCGCAAGCCUGAUGCAGCCAUGCCGCGUGUAUGAAGAAGGCGCUAGGGGUGCAAAGUAGCCUCAGUCUGGAGGCGUUACCGACAGAUGCAGCCCCGGCUAACUCCGUGCGAGCAGCCGCGGUAAUAC
rnacentral:rRNA from 1 species